rnacentral:rRNA from 1 species
UACGGGGGGGGCAAGCGUUGUUCGGAAUUACUGGGCGUAAAGGGCUCGUAGGCGGCCAACUAAGUCAGACGUGAAAUCCCCAGGCUCAACCUGGGAACUGCGUCUGAUACUGGAUGGCUUGAAUUCGGGAGAGGGAUGCAGAAUUCCAGGUGUAGCGGUGAAAUGCGUAGAUAUCCGGAGGAACACCGGUGGCGAAGGCGGCUUCCUGGACCGACACUGACGCUGAGGCGCGAAAGCUAGGGGAGCAAACGGG